ACCCGAUCCCAUCCCGAACUCGGAAGUGAAACGCAGCUGCGCCAAUGGUAGUGUGGCCUAAGCCAUGCAAGAGUAGGUCAUCGCCAGGG
rnacentral:rRNA from 1 species